AAUGAUUUUAUUUAAUGGCCGCGGUAAUUUGACCGUGCAAAGGUAGCAUAAUCAUUAGCUUAUUAAUUGUGAGAUGGUAUGAAUGGUUGGACGAGAUAUUAUCUGUCUUCAUAUUAAUAUUUAGAAUUUAAUUUUUGAGUUAAAAAGCUUAAAUUUUUUUAAAGGACGAGAAGACCCUAUAGAUCUUUAUUAUUUUUGUUGUUUAUAUUUUUGGUUUAUUUUUAUUAUUAUUAUUUUAAUUUUUUUGUUGGGGUGACAUUUAGAUAUAAUUAACUCUUUAUUUUUUUUUUCAUUGAUUUAUGUUUAUAUGAUUUUUUAUUAUUUUUAUAANAAAUANAUACCUUAGGGAUAACAGCGUAAUUCUUUUUGANAGUUCAUAUUGACAUUGGANAUUGCGACCUCGAUGUUGAAUUAANAUAAUUGGKGGGUGUAGUUGCUUACUUGUUAGGUCUGUUCGACCUUUAAAUUCUUACAUGAUCUGAGUUCAAAACCGGAGA
rnacentral:rRNA from 1 species